UGACAAGAAAUAACAAUACGGGGCUUAAAGUCUUGUAAUUGGAAUGAUGGGAAUUUAAACCUCUUCCAGAGUAUCAAUUGGAGGGCAAGUCUGGUGCCAGCAGCCGCGGUAAUUCCAGCUCCAAUAGCGUAUAUUAAAAUUGUUGCAGUUAAAAAGCUCGUAGUUGAAUUUCUGCUGCAUUGCUUGUGUCCCUCUGGGGUCUGUGCAUGUGGCUUUUUUCGGACGGAGUUUCUUUGUCUGAAUGUUUACUUUGAGAAAAUUAGAGUGCUCAAAGCAGGCUUUCGCCUUGAAUAGUUUAGCAUGGAAUAAUAAAGUAGGACUUUGGUUCUAUUUUGUUGGUUUUAGGUACCAAAGUAAUGGUUAAUAGGAACAGUUGGGGGCAUUCGUAUUUAACUGUCAGAGGUGAAAUUCUUAGA
rnacentral:rRNA from 1 species